rfam:Brachypodium distachyon strain Bd21 chromosome 2, whole genome shotgun sequence.
CAACUACUCCCUCCGUCCCAUAUUAAGUGUCACAACUUUGUCUAUAUACGCAUGUAUCUAGACUCGUUUUAGUGUGUAGAUACAUGCGUAUUUAGGCAAAGUUGCAACACUUAAUGUGGGACGGAGGGAGUAGAAG